rnacentral:rRNA from 1 species
AGUGAACGCUGGCGGUAGGCUUAACACAUGCCAGUCGAACGGCAGCACAGUAAGAGCUUGCUCUUACGGGUGGCGAGUGUCGGACGGGUGAGGAAUACAUUGGAAUCUACUUUUUCGUGGGGGAUAACGUAGGGAAACUUACGCUAAUACCGCAUACGACCUACGGGUGAAAGCAGGGGAUCUUCGGACCUUGCGCGAUUGAAUGAGCCGAUGUCGGAUUAGCUAGUUGGCGGGGUAAAGGCCCACCAAGGCGACGAUCCGUAGCUGGCCUGAGAGGAUGAUCAGCCACACUGGAACUGAGACACGGUCCAGACUCCUACGGGAGGCAGCAGUGGGGAAUAUUGGACAAUGGGCGCAAGCCUGAUCCAGCCAUACCGCGUGGGUGAAGAAGGCCUUCGGGUUGUAAAGCCCUUUUGUUGGGAAAGAAAAGCAGCAGGUUAAUACCCCGCUGUUCUGACGGUACCCAAAGAAUAAGCACCGGCUAACUUCGUG